ACGGUGAGGGAUGAAAGCUGGGGGAGCAAACCGGAUUAGGUACCCGGGUAGUCCCAGCUGUAAACGAUGCAGACUCGGUGAUGGGUUGGCUUUGCGCCAACCCAGUGCCGCAGGGAAGCCGUUAAGUCUGCCGCCUGGGGAGUACGGUCGCAAGACUGAAACUUAAAGGAAUUGGCGGGGGAACACCACAAGGGGUGAAGCCUGCGGUUCAAUUGGAGUCAACGCCG
rnacentral:rRNA from 1 species